UACGGAGGAGGCAAGCGUUAUCCGGACUUAUUGGGCGUAAAGCGUCCGCAGGUGGCACUUCAAGUCUGUCGUCAAAGACUGGGGCUUAACCCUGGAAAGGCGGUGGAAACUGAAGCACUAGAGUGCGGUAGGGGUAGAGGGAAUUCCCGGUGUAGCGGUGAAAUGCGUAGAGAUCCGGAGGAACACCAGUGGCGAAAGCGGCUUCCUGGUCCAGCACCGACGUUCAGGCACGAAAGCGUGGGGAGCAAACAGG
rnacentral:rRNA from 1 species